UACGUAGGGUGCGAGCGUUGUCCGGAAUUAUUGGGCGUAAAGAGCUCGUAGGCGGCCUGUUGCGUCCGCUGUGAAAUCCCGGGGCGUCAACCCUGGCCGUGGCAGUGGAUACGGGCAGGCUGGAGGCAGGGCAGGGGAGAACGGGAAUUCCCGGUGGUAGCGGUGAAACGUGCGCAGACGUAUAGGGUGAGGAACGACCCGG
rnacentral:rRNA from 1 species